rnacentral:rRNA from 1 species
UACGGGGGGGGCAAGCGUUGUUCGGAAUUACUGGGCGUAAAGGGCUCGUAGGCGGCCAACUAAGUCAGACGUGAAAUCCCUCGGCUUAACCGGGGAACUGCGUCUGAUACUGGAUGGCUUGAGUUUGGGAGAGGGAUGCGGAAUUCCAGGUGUAGCGGUGAAAUGCGUAGAUAUCUGGAGGAACACCGGUGGCGAAGGCGGGUCUCUGGACAGUUCCUGACACUGAGACACGAAGGCCAGGGGAGCAAACGGG